UACGGAGGGUGCGAGCGUUGUCCGGAAUCACUGGGCGUAAAGGGCGCGUAGGCGGCUUUUUAAGUCAGGGGUGAAAUCCUGGAGCUCAACUCCAGAACUGCCUUUGAUACUGAGAAGCUUGAGUCCGGGAGAGGUGAGUGGAACUGCGAGUGUAGAGGUGAAAUUCGUAGAUAUUCGCAAGAACACCAGUGGCGAAGGCGGCUCACUGGCCCGGUACUGACGCUGAGGUGCGAAAGCGUGGGGAGCAAACAGG
rnacentral:rRNA from 1 species